rnacentral:lncRNA from 1 species
GGUAAAAAUGUUCAACCUUUUUUUGAAGAUCUUAGAAAUUAUGAUUUUCUAUCUAUGGAGAAAUAUUGAAUCAGCGCUAUAUUUGAACACCUUAUUAUGGGGAUUAGCCUUUUUCUGCUGUUUGAUAUAUUUUGUUUCCAUUUUUAGGUUCGUUUGUCUUUGUGUCCUUCGAAGAUGGAUACACCGGAAAAAUGUUCAACAUCUGUGAUGUUUUAAGGAAGAAUGAGAAACCUGUUCAGGAUUUUCACGACUUGAGCCCUGGAGAGGAAAUUCUGGCUCGCUGGUCUGACCACAAAUUUUAUAAUGCAACUGUGGAGUACAUCGGAACAAACACAAAAAAAAGAUACUAAGAAAACCCUCUCAAAGAACAAAGACGCUGUGGCAUCGCAACAUCACAAUUUUUAUAAUUCUUCCCCAUCUCACCCGACUCUGCAGCAGCCUGCGUCAUCCCUCCAGCCUGUACAGCAUCCAUCUCAGCAGUACCAGGUAGCCUCAGACCUUCAGCCUGUACAGCAUCCAUCUCAGCAGCACCAGGUAGCCUCAGCCCUCCAGCCUGUACAGCAACCAUCUCAGCAGCACCAGGUUGCCUCAGCCAUCCAUGCUCCUUCCAACCAGCAUCUUCAGCAACAAUCUCAACACCAGUCUCAUCCAUACCAGCUUCUCCAAUCCUCUCCGCAACAGUCUCCACCGCCGCUUCACCUUCUUUACCACCAGCCUCUUCAAUCUAUUGAGGUCCAGCCACCACCUCUCUAUGGGCCAUCAUAUUCCAAAUCCCUCAGCAGCUAUUAUCAGCUCACACCUAGUACAUCACAGCAGGUGUACGCUCAGGUUCACCACAGUACUAUUGUUAGCCAGGGGACUCCUGACAAACAUGGUGUCAAUCAAGAUGUCUUCCAGUCAGCUAUUGAAACCCCUCCUCAUUCUGUCCGAAGCAGCUUCAUGAAGAUGUUAAACACCCCUCCAGGCAGUAGCAGAGUGGAGCACAAUGGCGCCAUCUCAGACACAAGUACUGCUGACACAAUAAUACUUGAGCGUAGUCCAAUAGAAGAGUAUGGUGAGCCAUGUGGGACCCCACAGUCUAGCGAACAAGGUUUUCAACCUUGCGAGCAUUGUGCAGCAGAGUUUGCAAGGCUGAAAGAAGACAAUAAGAGGCUGGAGGUGCUGAACACUAUAGAUUGUGCAGAUCUGGAGAAUAUCAGGAAGCUUCUGGGCAAAAUUGAAGGAAUAGUACCAAGCACCAAGGAGGGACACCAGGGUCCACAAAGAGACAAGAAAGAACUGUACCCGGGAAGCGGCCUGUACAUCUCUGCAACUCGUCUUGUUGCAAUUAAAGUGGAGGCCAAGAAAGACUGCCUCCGCCUGUUCCACCUUCUGUUUGAUGAAGUGUUCUCACCAGAGGAGUGCAGGAAUUGUGUUGCAUUCGGCAAACAUGGAAAAAUUCCUGAAGGCAAGACACAGCUGAAUAAGCGUAAAGUAGACGCAGUAUUGAGUAAGUGUAUAUUUUUCAUUUUUACAAAAUGAUUAUGUCUUACAAAUAUCUUGACAAUUUUUUUCUCUCUGUCUACAGCUUACAUCAUGCACUGCUGCACCUUGACAGGAUGGGUUCCGGUGGAGAUGUCAAAAGUGAAAAAAGCACUCAUCAAUAAAUGCCGUGCAAGAGCAGCCCGGAGUCUUCUG